rnacentral:rRNA from 1 species
CCCUUAGAUGUCCUGGGCCGCACGCGCGCUACACUGAGUGCCUGAGAUACGAGUCUGCCUGGUCCGGCAAGGUCUAGGUAAUCGCUAAAAGACACAUCAUGCUUGGGAUAGAUUAUUGCAAAUAUUAAUCUUGAACGAGGAAUUCCUAGUAAGCGCAAGUCAACAGCUUGCGUUGAUUACGUCCCUGCCCUUUGUACACACCGCCCGUCGCUACUACUGAUUGGAUGUUUAAGCGAGGUUCUCGAACUGCUAGCGACUUAGCUUCGGUGAGGUCGCAGUGUGGGAAGUGAACCUAGCUUUGGUGUCUAGAGGAAGUAAAAGUCGUAACA